rnacentral:rRNA from 1 species
CAGUAGCCACGGUAAUACGUAGGGUGCGAGCGUUAAUCGGAAUUACUGGGCGUAAAGCGUGCGCAGGCGGUUCGUUAAGACAGAUGUGAAAUCCCCGGGCUUAACCUGGGAACUGCAUUUGUGACUGACGGGCUAGAGUAUGGCAGAGGGGGGUAGAAUUCCACGUGUAGCAGUGAAAUGCGUAGAGAUGUGGAGGAAUACCGAUGGCGAAGGCAGCCCCCUGGGCCAAUACUGACGCUCAUGCACGAAAGCGUGGGGAGCAAACAGGAUUAGAUACCCGCGUAGUCCCUGUCUCUUAUAA